rnacentral:tRNA from 1 species
GGAGCUAUCUACUAAUGGUUAGGUAACUGCCCUCUCAAGGCAGAAAUUUGGGUUCAAUUCCCAAUAGCUCUA